rnacentral:rRNA from 1 species
CUCCCAACCCAAUGUGAACCAUACCAAACUGUUGCCUCGGCGGGGUCACGCCCCGGGUGCGUCGCAGCCCCGGAACCAGGCGCCCGCCGGAGGGACCCACCAAACUCUUUUCUGUAGUCCCCUCGCGGACGUUAUUUCUUACAGCUCUGAGCAAAAAUUCAAAAUGAAUCAAAACUUUCAACAACGGAUCUCUUGGUUCUGGCAUCGAUGAAGAACGCAGCGAAAUGCGAUAAGUAAUGUGAAUUGCAGAAUUCAGUGAAUCAUCGAAUCUUUGAACGCACAUUGCGCCCGCCAGUAUUCUGGCGGGCAUGCCUGUCCGAGCGUCAUUUCAACCCUCGAACCCCUCCGGGGGGUCGGCGUUGGGGAUCGGGAACCCCUAAGACGGGAUCCCGGCCCCGAAAUACAGUGGCGGUCUCGCCGCAGCCUCUCCUGCGCAGUAGUUUGCACAACUCGCACCGGGAGCGCGGCGCGUCCACGUCCGUAAAACACCCAACUUCUGAAAUGUUGACCUCGGAUCAGGUAGGAAUACCCGCUGAACUUAAGCAUAUCAAUAAGSCGGAGRAA